rnacentral:rRNA from 1 species
ACGGGCCGUAGGAUGUCGACUUGGAGGUUGUGCCCUUGAGGCGUGGCUUCCGGAGCUAACGCGUUAAGUCGACCGCCUGGGGAGUACGGCCGCAAGGUUAAAACUCAAAUGAAUUGACGGGGGCCCGCACAAGCGGUGGAGCAUGUGGUUUAAUUCGAUGCAACGCGAAGAACCUUACCUACUCUUGACAUCCACAGAACUUUCCAGAGAUGGAUUGGUGCCUUCGGGAACUGUGAGACAGGUGCUGCAUGGCUGUCGUCAGCUCGUGUUGUGAAAUGUUGGGUUAAGUCCCGCAACGAGCGCAACCCUUAUCCUUUGUUGCCAGCGCGUAAUGGCGGGAACUCAAAGGAGACUGCCGGUGAUAAACCGGAGGAAGGUGGGGAUGACGUCAAGUCAUCAUGGCCCUUACGAGUAGGGCUACACACGUGCUACAAUGGCAUAUACAAAGAGAAGCGAACUCGCGAGAGCAAGCGGACCUCAUAAAGUAUGUCGUAGUCCGGAUCGGAGUCUGCAACUCGACUCCGUGAAGUCGGAAUCGCUAGUAAUCGUAGAUCAGAAUGCUACGGUGAAUACGUUCCCGGGCCUUGUACACACCGCCCGUCACACCAUGGGAGUGGGUUGCAAAAGAAGUAGGUAGCUUAACCUUCGGGAGGGCGCUUACCACUUUGUGAUUCAUGACUGGGUGAAGUCGUACAGGAAACCGUAAAUGUUAUGCCACAUCCUGCAGCAUGAGACGCGUGACCUGUAGCAUCCAUCUGUCUGGCGCACGUAUUCUGCUCUUACACACUCAGCUGCUCUCGUCUAGCGAGAGUAGCUCUUCUGCCGCUCGACAGCAUUUGCUUGCGCUAGGCAGCGACAAUCUCAAUGUACGCCGGGAAUUUACAUAAUAGAUG